ensembl:lncRNA
GUUAAUCUCUUGUUUUCACCAGUUAACGUAAACUGAACCAAGGGCUGCUCGGCAACCUGCACAAUAUGGCAGCUAGCUCUACAACUUAGCUGUUGCAGUGCUAACAGCUAGCUACAAUUCAGCGUUACUUGAUGGUUGGUCACAAACAGGAGGGAGGAGUCAGUCAUCAGGAUGGAGGUUAUAGAGGAAAAUAUGUCACAAAUGGAGAUGCUUGAGAAAAUAGCUGAGCUGGAUUACAGUCAGAGCCAGCUGAAGGAUCUGAAUACUGAGAUGAGACGUUGGCUGGAGUUUGCGGACGAUGACAUGGCCGUGCUGCGCUCAGAGAAUUCAGCCCUCACAAAACAAGUUAAAGCGCUGGAGAAGAUGAUGGCUGAAGCACAACAGGUUGAAGCAGAGCCUUGCAGGUCUUUCAUGGCUGAUGACCUUGAUGCAAAUAGAUGCAGAGAAAACAAGAUUCAGAAAUUGGAGAAGGAAUCCAUCAUAAUGACAGAAGAAAAUAAGAUGCUAACUGCAGAGCUCAAAGACCUCCAGCAAAAAAGAGACCAGGACAAGAUCAGCUUAAGUAAGCUCAGCGUUGCACUUCAAAACUUUGAGUUAGAAAAGGAAGAGGCUCAGUUAGAGCUGCAGCGUAGGGAUGAGAUUAUUCAUCAGAGAAACUUGCAGUUAAAGCAUUUGAAUGAAACUGUUGAAGAGAGUGCCAACAUCAUGAAGGACCUCAGGCUGACAAACCAGGAGCUGAGGAAGCAGAUAGAGGGCAGACGAGACGAGGCCUAUUUUGACAGUCUGACUGACAGGAUGAGAGAAAACGAAGGAUCGGUUAUUCCCCCUCCGUCUUUAGCUGAGGAAAUAUGGCAGGCCUCAUCCCCUGAAGUGAAACCCUUCAUGACGUACUCCACAGAGCUCAGACAUGAGGAAGGUGAAGCUGAGGAGCUGCUGAAACCUCGUAGUGUCACAGCUGACUUUCAGACCAAAAGAUGUGCAGAUACUUCAAAGACAUCCGUCCAGAAAACAGGGCUGUUCACUGUGUGCAUCUUCAUUCUCACUGUUUUGGCCUUCUUGGCUUCAGGAAGUUGUUCAGGAAACGGUGACUUUUUUUCUAUCAACUCAUUGUGGAACAGUGCGUGCCUGAUGUUUCAUCCCUACUGCCGCAUCCACUACGGGGCCUUACCUCCCAUUUGACCUAAACACUCCCUCUCAUAAACAUGUCACGACUCUAUUAAUGUGCCUGAUUGUGGGUUGCUUUUGUGGUUGGCUUUGUUUUGUACACACAAGAAUGAAGGUUUUAUUUAAAAUACUUGAAUUUCUACAUGUGACUAGUUUGGCAAACUACAUUAACUAACCAGAGAAUAAUAAAAUGUCAAAUGACUAGUGACCAAUGUUCCCUCUAAUUUUCCAUGAGUCUGAGCAAACACACAAACUCCCUGAGCGUCCCUUGGACCACUGUGAGCAACAUCAGACGUGUGCACUGUGGUCACACCAGCAUCACAUCCAUUCAAG